UACAGAGGUCUCAAGCGUUGUUCGGAUUCAUUGGGCGUAAAGGGCGCGUAGGCGGCGGGGUAAGUCGGGUGUGAAAUCUCAGAGCUCAACUCUGAAACUGCACUCGAUACUGCUCUGCUUGAGGACUGGAGAGGAGACUGGAAUUCACGGUGUAGCAGUGAAAUGCGUAGAUAUCGUGAGGAAGACCAGUGGCGAAGGCGGGUCUCUGGACAGUUCCUGACGCUGAGGUGCGAAGGCCAGGGGAGCAAACGGG
rnacentral:rRNA from 1 species